rnacentral:rRNA from 1 species
UGGGGAAUUUUGGACAAUGGGCGCAAGCCUGAUCCAGCAAUGCCGCGUGCAGGAUGAAGGCCUUCGGGUUGUAAACUGCUUUUGUACGGAGCGAAAAGGUCUGUCCUAAUACGGUGGGUUCAUGACGGUACCGUAAGAAUAAGCACCGGCUAACUACGUGCCAGCAGCCGCGGUAAUACGCAGGGUGCGAGCGUUAAUCGGCAUUACUGGGCGUAAAGCGCGCGCAGGCGGUUAUAUAAGACAGAUGUGAAAUCCCCGGGCUCACCCUGGGACAUGCAUUUGUGACUGUAUAGAGAGAGUACGGUAGAGGGGGAUGGAAUUCCGCGCGUAGCAGUGAAAUGUGUAGAUAUGCAGGGGAACACAGAUGGCGAAGGCAAUCCCCUGGGCGUGCACUGACGCUCAUGCGCGAAAGCGUGGGGAGAAAACA